AGCGAACGUUAGCGGCGGGCCUAACACAUGCAAGUCGAACGAGAAAGGGACUUCGGUCCUGAGUAAAGUGGCGGACGGGUGAGUAACACGUGGACAAUCUGCCUUCGAGCGGGGGAUAACAGUCCGAAAGGAUUGCUAAUACCGCAUACGUCUCCCUGGUCUGCGGACCGGGGAGGGAAAGCUGCCCACUUCAUGAACGGUAGCACUCGAAGAGGAGUCCGCGGCGCAUCAGCUAGUUGGUGAGGUAACGGCUCACCAAGGCGAAGACGCGUAGCUGGUCUGAGAGGAUGAUCGGCCACACUGGGACUGAGACACGGCCCAGACUCCUACGGGAGGCAGCAGUGGGGAAUAUUGGGCAAUGGGCGCAAGCCUGACCCAGCCACGCCGCGUGAGUGAUGAAGGCCUUCGGGUCGUAAAGCUCUGUGGGGAGGGACGAAAGCCCUGAGGUUAAUACCCUCAGGUUUGACGGUACCUCCUUAGCAAGCACCGGCUAACUCCGUGCCAGCAGCCGCCGUAAAAC
rnacentral:rRNA from 1 species